UACGUAGGCAGCAAGCGUUGUUCGGAAUUACUGGGCGUAAAGAGCGUGUAGGCGGUUUGGUAGGUCCGCUGUGAAAACUCGAGGCUCAACCUCGAGACGCCGGUGGAAACCAUCAGACUAGAGUCCGGAAGAGGAGAGUGGAAUUCCUGGUGUAGCGGUGAAAUGCGCAGAUAUCAGGAAGAACACCCGUGGCUAAGGCGGCUCUCUAGUACGGUACUGACGCUGAGACGCGAAAGCGUGGGGAGCGAACAGG
rnacentral:rRNA from 1 species